GCGAGCGGCGGAUGGGUGAGUAACACGUGGCGAACCUGCCCCUAAGUCUGGGAUACCAUUUGGAAACAGGUGCUAAUACCGGAUAAUAAAGCAGAUCGCAUGAUCAGCUUUUGAAAGGCGGCGUAAGCUGUCGCUAAGGGAUGGCCCCGCGGUGCAUUAGCUAGUUGGUAAGGUAACGGCUUACCAAGGCGACGAUGCAUAGCCGAGUUGAGAGACUGAUCGGCCACAUUGGGACUGAGACACGGCCCAAACUCCUACGGGAGGCAGCAGUAGGGAAUCUUCCACAAUGGACGCAAGUCUGAUGGAGCAACGCCGCGUGAGUGAAGAAGGUUUUCGGAUCGUAAAGCUCUGUUGUUGGUGAAGAAGGAUAGAGGUAGUAACUGGCCUUUAUUUGACGGUAAUCAACCAGAAAGUCACGGCUAACUACGUGCCAGCAGCCGCGGUAAUACGUAGGUGGCAAGCGUUGUCCGGAUUUAUUGGGCGUAAAGCGAGCGCAGGCGGAAAAAUAAGUCUAAUGUGAAAGCCCUCGGCUUAACCGAGGAAUUGCAUCGGAAACUGUUUUUCUUGAGUGCAGAAGAGGAGAGUG
rnacentral:rRNA from 1 species